rnacentral:rRNA from 1 species
CUUGUCUCGGAGGACAUUAUUGAAUGCUUUGGAGAAGUUCUGUUGCUGGCCUCUUAACAAAGGCAUGUGCACGUCUUCUUUAGAUCUAUUCAUCCACCUGUGCACUUAUUGUAGAAGUUCUUGUAAGGUUUUGGUUGUAGACUUCGGUCUGCGGUCGAUUCUUUGCGAGUCUUCUAUGCUCUUACAAACUCAUUAGUAUGUCUUUGAAUGUCUUUUAUUGGGACUUUACUGGCCCUUUAAACUUUAUACAACUUUCAGCAACGGAUCUCUUGGCUCUCCCAUCGAUGAAGAACGCAGCGAAAUGCGAUAAGUAAUGUGAAUUGCAGAAUUCAGUGAAUCAUCGAAUCUUUGAACGCACCUUGCGCCCUUUGGUAUUCCGAAGGGCAUGCCUGUUUGAGUGUCAUUAAAUUCUCAACUUCAAUAGUUUUUAUAGCUCAUUGAAGCUUGGUUGUGGGAGCUUGCUGGCGUCUUAGAUGUUCGGCUCUCCUUAAAGACAUUAGUGGAAACUCGUUUGUUGGACCACCCUUGGUGUGAUAAUUAUCUACGCCUUGGUCAGUCUGGCAGCUCUGGUUUGAUUGUCCUCAGGCGUUCCCAGCGGAGCGUUCUGGUUGGGGCGGUUUGCAUUGACUUGAUCGGUCUGUCUGAAGAUCUAACUAAAGAAAGGAUGGAUGCCCGCUCUCCGACCGUGUGUGCAUACGGAUUACUGACUGACUGACCGACCACCAAGCAGGAAUAACUACUCAAUGAA